AACGAACGCUGGCGGCAUGCCUAACACAUGCAAGUCGAACGAGACCUUCGGGUCUAGUGGCGCACGGGUGCGUAACGCGUGGGAAUCUGCCCUUGGGUCCGGAAUAACAGUUGGAAACGACUGCUAAUACCGGAUGAUGACGUAAGUCCAAAGAUUUAUCGCCCAAGGAUGAGCCCGCGUAGGAUUAGCUAGUUGGUGAGGUAAAGGCUCACCAAGGCGACGAUCCUUAGCUGGUCUGAGAGGAUGAUCAGCCACACUGGGACUGAGACACGGCCCAGACUCCUACGGGAGGCAGCAGUGGGGAAUAUUGGACAAUGGGCGAAAGCCUGAUCCAGCAAUGCCGCGUGAGUGAUGAAGGCCUUAGGGUUGUAAAGCUCUUUUACCCGGGAUGAUAAUGACAGUACCGGGAGAAUAAGCUCCGGCUAACUCCGUG
rnacentral:rRNA from 1 species